UUAGGCUUAGGAUUAGGCUUUGCCUGAGGCUUAGGACUCGACGUAGUCUUUGGCUUAAACUUAGGCUUAGGGUUAGGCUUUGGCUUAGGCUCAAGCUUAGGCUUAAGCUUCAGGUUAGGCUUAGGCUUAGGCUUAGCCUUAGGCUU
ensembl:ncRNA Y54F10AM.13 ncRNA